rnacentral:rRNA from 1 species
CACACCGCCGAAGCCGCGGCACAUCCACCUUGUGGGGGUGUGGGUAGGGGAGCGUCCCUCAUUCAGCGAAGCCACCGGGUGACCGGUGGUGGAGGGUGGGGGAGUGAGAAUGCAGGCAUGAGUAGCGACAAGGCAAGUGAGAACCUUGCCCGCCGAAAGACCAAGGGUUCCUGGGCCAGGCCAGUCCGCCCAGGGUGAGUCGGGACCUAAGGCGAGGCCGACAGGCGUAGUCGAUGGACAACGGGUUGAUAUUCCCGUACCCGUGUGUGGGCGCCCGUGACGAAUCAGCGGUACUAACCACCCAAAACCGGAUCGAUCACUCCCCUUCGGGGGUGUGGAGUUCUGGGGCUGCGUGGGAACUUCGCUGGUAGUAGUCAAGCGAAGGGGUGACGCAGGAAGGUAGCCGUACCAGUCAGUGGUAACACUGGGGCAAGCCGGUAGGGAGAGCGAUAGGCAAAUCCGUCGCUCACUAAUCCUGAGAGGUGACGCAUAGCCGGUUGAGGCGAAUUCGGUGAUCCUCUGCUGCCAAGAAAAGCCUCUAGCGAGCACACACACGGCCCGUACCCCAAACCGACACAGGUGGUCAGGUAGAGCAUACCAAGGCGUACGAGAUAACUAUGGUUAAGGAACUCGGCAAAAUGCCCCCGUAACUUCGGGAGAAGGGGGACCGGAAUAUCGUGAACACCCUUGCGGUGGGAGCGGGAUCCGGUCGCAGAAACCAGUGAGGAGCGACUGUUUACUAAAAACACAGGUCCGUGCGAAGUCGCAAGACGAUGUAUACGGACUGACGCCUGCCCGGUGCUGGAAGGUUAAGAGGACCCGUUAACCCGCAAGGGUGAAGCGGAGAAUUUAAGCCCCAGUAAACGGCGGUGGUAACUAUAACCAUCCUAAGGUAGCGAAAUUCCUUGUCGGGUAAGUUCCGACCUGCACGAAUGGCGUAACGACUUCUCAACUGUCUCAACCAUAGACUCGGCGAAAUUGCACUACGAGUAAAGAUGCUCGUUACGCGCGGCAGGACGAAAAGACCCCGGGACCUUCACUACAACUUGGUAUUGAUGUUCGGUACGGUUUGUGUAGGAUAGGUGGGAGACUGUGAAACCUCGACGCCAGUUGGGGCGGAGUCGUUGUUGAAAUACCACUCUGAUCGUAUUGGGCAUCUAACCUCGAACCCUGAAUCGGGUUUAGGGACAGUGCCUGGCGGGUAGUUUAACUGGGGCGGUUGCCUCCUAAAAUGUAACGGAGGCGCCCAAAGGUUCCCUCAACCUGGACGGCAAUCAGGUGGCGAGUGUAAAUGCACAAGGGAGCUUGACUGCGAGACUUACAAGUCAAGCAGGGACGAAAGUCGGGAUUAGUGAUCCGGCACCCCCGAGUGGAAGGGGUGUCGCUCAACGGAUAAAAGGUACCCCGGGGAUAACAGGCUGAUCUUCCCCAAGAGUCCAUAUCGACGGGAUGGUUUGGCACCUCGAUGUCGGCUCGUCGCAUCCUGGGGCUGGAGCAGGUCCCAAGGGUUGGGCUGUUCGCCCAUUAAAGCGGCACGCGAGCUGGGUUAGACGUCGUGAGACAGUUCGUCUCUAUCGCCGCGCGCGUCAGAAACUGAGAAACCUGUCCCUAGUACGAGAGGACCGGGACGGACGAACCUCUGGUGCACCAGUUGUCCCGCCAGGGGCACCGCUGGAUAGCCACGUUCGGUCAGGAUAACCGCUGAAAGCAUCUAAGCGGGAAACCUUCUCCAAGAUCAGGUUUCUCACCCACUUGGUGGGAUAAGGCCCCCCGCAGAACACGGGUUCAAUAGGUCAGACCUGGAAGCUCAGUAAUGGGUGUAGGGAACUGGUGCUAACCGGCCGAAAACUUACAACA